rnacentral:rRNA from 1 species
GUACUGAAGAAUAAGGAUCGGGCUAACUCCGUGCCAGCAGCCGCGGUAUACGGAGGAUCCAAGCGUUAUCCGAUUUAUUGGGUUAAAGGGUGCGUAGGCGGUCCUAUAAGUCAGUGGUGAAAGACGGCAGCUUAACUGUCGCAGUGCCUUUGAUACUGUAGGACUUGAAUCUAUUUGAAGUGGGCGGAAUAAGACAAGUAGCGGUGAAAUGCAUAGAUAUGUCUUAGAACUCCGAUUGCGAAGGCAGCUCACUAAGUUAGUAUUGACGCUGAUGCACGAAAGCGUGGGGAUCAAACAGGAUUAGAUACCCUGGUAGUCCACGCCCUAAACGAUGAUAACUCGAUGUUUGCGAUACACAGUAAGCGUCCAAGCGAAAGCGUUAAGUUAUCCACCUGGGGAGUACGGUCGCAAGAUUGAAACUCAAAGGAAUUGACGGGGGCCCGCACAAGCGGAGGAGCAUGUGGUUUAAUUCGAUGAUACGCGAGGAACCUUACCCGGGCUUGAAAGUUAGUGAAUGAUCCAGAGACGGAUCAGUCCUUCGGGACACGAAACUAGGUGCUGCAUGGCUGUCGUCAGCUCGUGCCGUGAGGUGUUGGGUUAAGUCCCGCAACGAGCGCAACCCCUAUGUUUAGUUGCCAGCACAUUAAGGUGGGGACUCUAAACAGACUGCCAGCGUAAGCUGUGAGGAAGGUGGGGACGACGUCAAGUCAUCAUGGCCCUUACGUCCGGGGCUACACACGUGCUACAAUGGAUGGUACAGCGGGCAGCUACAUAGCAAUAUGGUGCUAAUCUCUAAAAGCCAUUCACAGUUCGGAUUGAGGUCUGCAACUCGACCUCAUGAAGUUGGAUUCGCUAGUAAUCGCGUAUCAGCAAUGACGCGGUGAAUACGUUCCCGGGCCUUGUACACACCGCCCGUCAAGCCAUGAAAGUUGGGGGUACCUAAAGCAUGUAACCGCAAGGAGC